CUCUCAUUAAACAUCUUUGGCUGCCAUGGAAUUCAGGGAGCAAAUGGGAUUUCAGCCCUUGCCAGAACGGUGGUGCAGUGAUGUAUUACCUGCCAACAGCACAAUGUGAGGCAGGGUCCAGCCGUUCUGCCCAGCAUACAACUUGAGGGAGCAGCCCCUUUUGAAGACCUCCAGGUGGACUUCACAGGAAUGCCAAAGUGUGGAGUGAUCAUGUGUGGAUCAAGGACUGGAAUGUAGCCCACCCACAACUACGGUGGGAAGGACCCCAGACCAUCAUUUUGACGACUCUCACAGCAUGAAAAUAGAAGGAUUCCCAGCCUGGAUCAAUCACAGUCAUGUAUCAUCUACAUUGUCUGAGACCUGAGAGGUGAGACUGAGCCUGGUGGACCCCUGCAAAGUGACAUUGAGAAAGAUGGCAAGCCCUGCUACAGUCACAACCAGAAGCUUACUGUUGUAUGCAUGGCAAAAGAAUGAGGAUACUCAUCAUGGGAUUUAUUCUCCUUAAAAUUUGUACUUCUAUAAUAAAGAC
rnacentral:lncRNA from 1 species